rnacentral:rRNA from 1 species
UACGUAGGGACCAAGCGUUGUUCGGAUUUACUGGGCGUAAAGGGCGCGUAGGCGGCAAUUCAAGUCAGCUGUGAAAUCUCCGGGCUUAACUCGGAACGGUCAGCUGAUACUGCUUUGCUAGAGUGCAGAAGGGGCAAUCGGAAUUCUUGGUGUAGCGGUGAAAUGCGUAGAUAUCAAGAGGAACACCUGAGGUGAAGACGGGUUGCUGGGCUGACACUGACGCUGAGGCGCGAAAGCGUGGGGAGCGAUCCGG